UAUAUUGCAUGUCUGAAGCAUCAUUUACAUUCGAUGAUUUAAGUGUUCAUAGUGGACUGAGGUCAUCCUGCCUUACACAUGACGGGCUGGCACUUGACACCAUCAAUAUAGAAUAACUGUUUGGAAUUACAGCAAUAAUAAUGUGCAGACCCCCUACUGCAGCAUUAUUCACACAGUACUUUACAGGGCAAAAAGGUGUCCUUUAACAUUUAGAGCCAUGGAAGAACACAAUAUGUAUGAUGACUGAUGGUGGAAAAUGUAUGUCACAAGCUAUGCAUUGCAUGAACAAUAUUUCUACAUCCUCCAUUAAAAUACCAAAUUUGAUAGCAAAGGAUUGCUGGUUCAUGUCAUCCUUGCCAUAAAGAAGAAAUUGGAUGGGUGCAUCACUGCCCUCUUCCUUCCCUAUGCUCUGCUUACCCACGUUCUGCUUGUUUAUGUGGCCAAGCUGUGCCCAAGAAAUUGGAAAAAGCAGCCAGAAGCAAGUUUCCAUGAGCCUAAGGCCACUACCAGCACAUAGCAACUGAAAGCCCUUGUCCCAGGGAGCUCAAAGCAAUGCCACCAAAUCCAGCCUGCACAAACCCAGGAGAAGCAGGUGCAGCUGAACUCUGACUCCAGAGUUCAGUUCAGGGCUGGGAAUGCUGGCAAAUUCUUAGGAUGACCUAAACCCACAUUAAAAAAGAUUCAUGGCUGUUCAAAGAAAGAUGCAAAGAUUCAAGGCCUGAUCCUGGGGCUACUGCCAUCAGAGAAAGGAUUUCCACCAGUCUAAAGUGGCUUUAGCCAAAACCUUUAGCUUGGCUCUCAUUUUGUACAAGCCCCUGUGCCCUACUCUGUCUUCAGAGAAUGGCAGAGGCCCUGCACCGCUCUAAUCCUUGGCAUGAGCAUAAAAUCAUGCUGGGAACCUAAAUAACUCCCAUGAAGCAAGGACAGCUCUGCCCUUCGGUAGGGCUGGAUGUUAAGCCAGCUGUUAAACACUGCUUGCAGCCAGCUGCACGUCUCCAGCUGCUGCAGCUCUCAUCCCUCAGAGAAGAGGCACCACCUCUUCUGAGACAUGUCAGCUCCCCCUUCUUUUUGCUGGAUUGGACAUGGAAGACCCUGCCACCCCAAGGCUUCUUGACCCUCACUGCAGUUAUUUUUCCAGCACUCCUGUUGCUUACUGGGGGCUCUCAGUUCUCAAAGAUUAAUCAGACCAAACAGACUGUAUCCAGCAGUGGUGGGAGUUGUUCCUGAUGUUUAUAAUCCCAAAUAUUACUGUUUUACGUCACAGAUACCUCUUUUCCCUGAUGAAUGCUGACUAGUCUCUUUCCCUUCUGCCACUUUGCUUAAGUCAUAUUUGCCCUUAGAGCAAAAUGUGGCAGAGUCAUGAACAGGAACGGAAAGCUCUGUCAAAUGGAGAGACUAGGAUGCAACGUGAUUAUCGUGUUAACCAACUCACUGCCCUUUGGAUGCUUGGCCCACAUCCAGCACAGUGACAUCAAUACAGUGCUCUGGGCACACACUGCAAGUCGUCAGAUUGUACCAAAAUGUCAAGCAGCAUGCUGGAAGCUGUGGGGUUCUCAAGAGCUGAUCAGAUGCUGCACAUCUGGCCCUAUCCAUGCACCCUCAGCAACAUCUGCAGCACUCCAUGGGGGCAGCAGCAUUGCUCACCCACCUUCUUGGAAACCCACUGAAAUCAUCACGUAAACCCACAGGGGCAAGCAUACCCACCACAACUUUCUACAGCAAAGAUUAGGUGCAAUAAGACAUUAAAUGGGUGUCUGGCUUUGCCUUGCUAAUAGAGAGCUUCUUACUGGGGAUUUCUACAAGACCUUCCACAGAAAAGCAGGUAUUUGAGGGAGCCUUGUGUGCUUUGGCUUGGAAAAUCAAGGAUCUGCAGCCAUAUAGACCAGCCCUAGUAGCCCUGGUUCCCAGCAGGGGCUGAUGGAAUGUUGAUGAAAUUCUGGUACUUGUCUGAAAGCUACUGAGAUGUGGCCCACCUGUAGUGGGGAAAGGCAGACUGAACCCCCUCCUCCAGCACCGGGCUGCCAGGUAUGCCAUUUUCCUGCUGCAGCCACAUAUGAGCUGGUCAAGAGCCCAAUCCCAGGCAUCGUGUAGCAAAUCAAGGACUUUGCUUUCAGCAGCUUCCUCACACUUGGUAGCAGCACAGCCACAACCAGUCUUGCCCUUUUAGCAAAUUUUUCCAGAUGAAGAACUAUUUGCUGGUAGGGAAAAGACAAUUAUUAUUUUGCAAAACCAUUAGCCUCUGAAACCACACAGUGAAGAUGAUUAUGUUAAACGUUAACCAAGGAGAGGGAUGGAAUACAUUUUGUUGGUCAAGCAUCUCCAAAGUAAUGAACCAGACUAGUUGUGCCACCUCAGCUCCAUAUUUGGGAAGUAAUAUUGUGUUCAUCAGGCAGUGAACUACAGCAUCAGGGUCAGUGACCACCAAAACCCACCAGAGAGACCCCUGGGACAAGAGAACACAUGCGCUGAUGAGGGAAGAAAUACACUGAUGACUUCAAGGAAAUUAUUAUCAUAUGUAUGUUUCU